UUGCUUGACAGCAGAUAUAAUAAAAUUGGACUGAUACAGAGAAGACUAGAAUGACCCCUGCAGAAGGAUGACAUGCAAAUUCAUAAAGUGUUCCAUAUUUUU